GGCAAGCACACAGGCAACAGGAUUGAAGGUCCUCCUUCUUGAGACUCCUGCCGCAACAGCGGACAAGAAAGCGGAGGGUUUCCCAGCGCAGCUCGAGGCAGUGAUUGUCGAGAUGUCAGUCUCGAUCAGCUGACGUGGCAUGUCCACGUGGUCAUGAGUCAUGUCCCAUGUAAAAAGAGUCGGAACACAAUGAACGAGCUCAUGAGUGUUAUGUC